rnacentral:tRNA from 1 species
UAGAUUAGGAGCUGCUAGCAUUUUCAUUGUUAAUGAAAGGAAGUUGACAAAAGUAAGUAAA